CGCGACUCAUUGUCGUCGAACAAUUUUCUCAAAUUAUUUGCAAUCCUUUUUCGUUAGUGAAAACUAAACAUUGUGAAGUUUGUUUAAUCGUUGGUAAAAAGAUAAAUGUGAAAUGUGUAAGUGAUUGAUCGAAGAAUUGGAAUAUCACGAAUUUGCGAUCAUGAUGUUAUCUUCGACAAGCUUGCAACGAAAAAAUAUGUUCAAAAGAAAGAAAAAAAGAUGAAGAGAAGAAAAACGAAGAGAAAGAAACGUCUCGCGAGCUAAUUUUAAUGGACGUGUUUCCACGAUGGUGUGUACAGGAACGCCCUCAGAGGAUAAAUGAAAGAGAAGAAACGAUGGAUUACUGUGUUGGAUGUAAUUGAUCACGAAGACAAUGGAUUCCCUCUAUUUAUGACAAUAUCGUCGAUCUCGUCGGUUUGGGUAUCGACGGCGGGUGAAAGCAAGGCAGAAUAUACAUUCCUCCACGGUGUCCAGGCCUCUACUAGUGCUUUUUCCGUGUAAUUACUUUAAUAAUUCGUAUCGACUUCCAGUGGGAACUCCUUUCGCUGGACACGCAAGUUGGCUCGUUUCUUGGUCUCUAUAUUUGCUAGGUAUACACAACUAUCGAUUGAACGUGGAAUUUAGGACAACUUCGUUUACUUUUCCUUACGUAAUUAAUUUGUUUUUACGUGUUAUUAAUAUAUUCGAAAUCCAUCCGGAAAUAUUGUUUUAAUCUUAAUUAUAAGUUUAUUUUAGGAUAUUAUUUGUUGGAAGAUCGCAUUUAUAAUUACGUAGAUAAUUAUUGGAAUCUUAUGUGAUGAAACUUCCAUUUUCUUCGUUAUCUUGCCCGAAGGAGAAAAAGAAGAACACAAUUUGUCGCUACUCCGGGGAAACACUAAGGGAAGUAAUGAAAUUAUAGAGGAUUCUCGCCGGAUGGCAAACAUGACCGAGAAAUUCUCGAAAGACUUGGCUCGAUCAUUUUUAGAAGCAUUAUUGGUUCAGAGAUAUUGUUACAAGAAAAAAAAAUAACCCUGUUUAUUGUAAAUUUAAUUUAUUUGUUCAAUGUCGAGCAAUCGUUGCGAUUAUUCUAACCUCGAAAAAUAUUCUAACCUCAAAUUCCACGCAUUUCUAUCUCAAUUAAAAUCCGUUAAAUGUAACAAAGAGAGAGGCAUUCGCCUCUCGAAGAAUCUUAAGUUUAAUUUAAGUAAUAUCGAAGCGUGAAGUUAAAAAAAAAAAGAAACACAAGAAUGUUAAUCUCUUCGAUUCGAAUUGCAAAUUAUGUUAUUAUUUUGUAUCACACGCCAUUCCCAUCGAUGAAUUGUAUCGAUUAUAAUCGAUUCUCUCUGUAUGAAGAUUAUUCUCGCGUAUCGACUCGUUUUAAACUCGAUUAAAAUUAGAAUUAAUAACUGUCUUGAGCGAAGCGUAUUGCACAGGCUUUAUCGUUUUACCGCGAGCGGAAGCAACAGUUAAGAUUAAUUAUUCUUUAUGGCAGGCUCGUAAUCGUACGUCUUCUAAUAAAAAUAUUUAUUUAAUUCUACUUCUAUUAUUGUUUAAAGAAGAAGAGUGAUUUAAUUUUGUUUUCGCAUUUGAUUUAUCCAACCUCAAAGAAUUAUUAUUCCAUUGAUCUGUUAUCAUUAAAAUAUGUGCAAGAUGUGCUUUAAUUCUUUUAAAAGAACAAAAUUGAAAGAACAGAAUGAGUCACGGUGAAAGAUACUUUCUAAAACUGAUGCUUCUCACAUUUAAAAUUUUUACACAGUUUUUAACUCGCGUUAUUAUUUAUAUAUAAAAACAAAAUCUACCUUAGAUCCAUCUUAGAAUUUCUAUUCCAAAAAGAGAAAAACUGGAACAUCCUUUUUUUACAAUCCAACAAAAUAACCACGACUGUCUAUUAAUUAAAAAAAUAUAUAAAAUAUUAAAGAUAAACAAAUAUGCCUAUUCAUAUCAUCAUCAAUUUCCAUAAGUUAUUACAUUAGAAUAAUCAGAAAGAGAAAAAAAAAAAAGAAAAAAAAAGAUAUCGACCGAGCAAGAUUUAUCUACUGAAUUUUUCAAAACGCGUCCAAUUUCCGUCGCGCGAGCAACGUAGGCGUGCAUUUGUUAAAUCGUGAAAAAGAAGAGACGUUCCACUUUUGUUUUUUCCACUAUUUGAAACACGGUGUAACGGGGUUACCGCGAUCGUUGUUUCUUCCCUAUCGUAAGCGUGGAGGA
rnacentral:lncRNA from 11 species